GCAAGGUUCAAAGUCGGAAGUGGCCAUCACUACCUAAAGCAAUUCUUCCACGGUAGCCUCCGACGAUAUUGCCGGGAAAGUAAAUUAAAAUUCCGGCCAAAAUCCAGGCCGGCGUCCGGCGACAUAAACACACAAUAACCUGAGCAACUUGUAUUUGGAUUGGAUGUGGGAAUUUUGGAGAAGGCAUAAGAGGAAGGUAUAUGUUACAUUUGGAGUUCUUGGAAGUGGCUACCUUUUGUAUAAGCUGUAUGAAGGACACAAGCGGCGACUCUCUGAUCUUGAGAGGGAACUUGCAGAUGAGAAGAGAAAUGAUGAACUCAUUAGAUCCCAGAUCAAGGAACACUUCGGGAAAAUUCAGACAAUCGCCGAUUCAACGACAUUGCCCCAUGUAAUGCGACAUUUAAGUAGUCGAAUAGAAGAAGACUUGGACCUCACACACUUGAUGGAGAGGCUGAUGAAAGGGAAAGACGAACCAAAUUCUCUAACUGCUGCGGAGAAGCUGGAGCUGUGGGACAGACUUAAAAUUUCAAAUUUUACCAGAAUUGUGUUGUCUCUUUGGGCGACCACAAUGCUAAGCUUAUACAUUAGAGUUCAAGUCAAUAUAUUAGGGAGACAUCUUUAUAUUGAUACUGCGCGUGGCCUUGGAAGCUCUAUUCAACUUGAUGAAGCUGAUCUAAUUGACAGGGAUGACGAGCAGCAGUUUCUAGCCAGUGCAGACUAUCUUACCAAUGUUGGCCUGCCUGCCUUGACUUCAUGUUUUGAAACUG
rnacentral:misc_RNA from 1 species